AACGAACGCUGGCGGCAUGCCUAACACAUGCAAGUCGAACGAGACCUUCGGGUCUAGUGGCGCACGGGUGCGUAACGCGUGGGAAUCUGCCCCUCGGUUCGGAAUAACACAGAGAAAUUUGUGCUAAUACCGGGAUAAUGACUUCGGUCCAAAGAUUUAUCGCCGAGGGAUGAGCCCGCGUAAGAUUAGCUUGUUGGUGGGGUAAUGGCCUACCAAGGCGACGAUCUUUAGCUGGUCUGAGAGGAUGAUCAGCCACACUGGGACUGAGACACGGCCCAGACUCCUACGGGAGGCAGCUAGUGGGGAAUAUUGGACAAUGGGCGAAAGCCUGAUCCAGCAAUGCCGCGUGAGUGAUGAAGGCCUUAGGGUUGUAAAGCUCUUUUACCAGGGAUGAUAAUGACAGUACCUGGAGAAUAAGCUCCGGCUAACUCCGUG
rnacentral:rRNA from 1 species